AACCAAGAAGGGGAACACCAUGCAACAUGUCGCGUCAGUGUUGUGCAUUUAAGACAUGUGAUGUAAGUAAGAACUUCCAGCUUUUAUUGGACAAAUUUCAUGCAGGAGCAGGUGAAUCACAGGAGCGUCACAGGAAUCUUAGGCCAAAGCUGCUAACACAUUAACAAUUCCCAUGAAGGACUGUCCACAUUAGGAGUACCACUGUAUUCUAAAGCGUUGUGGCAUUUUCAUCAGACCCUGUGCUAACACACGGUUUGAACUGUUCCACACAGAAAUUCAUCUCAAGGAACAACGAUGUGUCAAGUGCAUGCAUCCACAAUCAUCUGUGUUAGAUGGUUCCGGUACAUCUUCAGAGUUUCGGGCAUCUCCCCUGCCACAUGUCUCAAUGGACACUAGACUGCCCAAAGGCACGUUGCGUAGCCCAGUAGCAUGAACCUGUAAGAAGCCAGCCCCUUCAGGUCCAGCAGCAGAGUCAGGAGAUUCAUCUGCAUUAUGAAAGCGCAUGCCAAAUACAUGUCAGAAGACAGUCAUGUGGCAGGCUGCUUGUGGCAGCAAUGAACAGGCAGAAGUUUCACCUGGAAGUCCCAGCAAACUCUCUGAAUCUGCAUGUGUUUUGGAUACAAGCCCCUCUACAUGGCCUGGUAACUGCCCAUGUGGAAGCUGAUGCACCAUACCCGCUCCCUUAUGGCUUUAUAGGUAGCAUAUGUCUUUUUCUGAAUUAGAUCCAGAGACCUGAAACACAAGCUGAGGGGCUCUUUCACCAAGUAGCAUGAGGCAGAUUUACUACUCACCAAGAAAGGGUGGGGAGAAUGGAAAAGAAUGUGUGUCCUCUUGACUCAGUCACUUCUCACUCAACAUGUAAAGACCUGAACUUGGCAAAGUAGCUCAGAGUUUUUCUGCAUAAUAAAAAGAAGAUCCUUGAAUAAAAGAAGCUCACCAAAAGAAAAUCCAGAGGGAUUUUCUCAGAUAAUAGUACUAAUAAUAGUCAGAAAUAAUAAUUUUCUGACAGAAGUGCAACCCCACAAACAAUGGCGGUUUUUUACACUUGCAGGAACCAGGGCUGGUAGUUAGGUUUCUAAUAUAUUUUCUGUCACUUCCCUUAAUUUUGAUUCUGUGCAUGUACAUGGCUUUGGAAAGUCGUAAUUAUUUAACAUGCAUCUCUGUUUCCUCUCUCACCCUCUGUCUGUCUGGUCUGUUUAGGUUGCAUAUUUCUGUUAUGUUUGUGCUCUGUUUGCACAUUGCCCGGUAUUAAGAAACUCCCUAUUUGUUUGGCUUCUCUACUUGCUAUUGUGAUACAAAUAAUAAAUAAUUCUACACUUCUAAACUUCAUUAUUAUUUCAGAAACUCUAGGGAUUAACUUCAUUUUCCUGUUUAUGAAAAUAUAGUUGUAUUGGUUUUGUCAGAGAUCAGGGGCAUUUCAUUAGGAACUGUAAAAAGCAGGCUUUGUGUUUUACAGGCUUUGCAACAUGCUACUAUGAAACUGGGUAGAAUGGUCUGGGAUGGGAGGAAACUCCCUGGAAUCCUCUGUGACAUCUGAUGUUUCUCAUCAUUGCUGUUAAUAGUCCUAGGUGCCUUGCUAAUGGCACGGAGAGUUUUACAGAUUUAUCUCAUUUGUACUGCUGGCUAGGUUUAAGCAUUUUCCUAGGAAGCUUUUAUUCAUCUGGGGAAAAGUCCUCUGAAGUCAACAGGAGCUGUGUAUUUUUUAAUUGCCACUUCCAUUAAAGAUGUAUACUCGCUGUUUUUUGAAUGCAACCAUAUCAGCCCUGUUCUGAACUGCAAACUAGGUGGACUCACAGUCUCACUCCUAUAAACCUGCCUGUCCCUGCAGCAGAACCAUGUCAAUUUAACCAAGGAACAGUGACAAGAUGGCAACUCUUC